UGCCAGUCUGGUGCCCGCUGUAACAUUUAUUACCAAGAAGUAUUGUUACAACAGAUCUACCUAACACUAAUUUCCUUGUGUUUUGUGUUAAGUGUGAUAUGAUACUAUAAAGGUGUGGCUGAGAGUCUGAGUGUUCAGGGGUCUGAAGUGUGAACAACACAGUAAAAGUCCUGAAUGGUUGUUGGAAGCUCACUGUUAAGACUGAGUGUUUGAGCUCUGAAUAAUUGCCGAACACAGAAGCAAGUUUAACAGGUUUAUUGUUAAAUUGAGUGAUUGGAGGUAGGAAGCUGGAACCCAGGAGCAGCAGGUCUGGAUACAGAGAACAGGGGUUAAGUCGGUUCAGGGCUUGCUGCUGCUGCGAGGAUUAAUCGUGGUCCAAGACAAGGCUGGGGUCAAACACGGGUGGUCAGAGGCWGUUACCAGGUUAAUAGGGGCAGACUGAGUCGAGGAUCCAGGGAUGGGUUCCGAGGUCGAGUUCCAGGAAGUCCGAGAUGGCGAGGUUCCGUUCAGGGGCGAGACGUGAGGCGAAAAUCCAACAAACAGAACCAGUGUUGUUACCAGGUGAGCAGAUGACAGGCAGGAUCCGACAGGGGCUGAGGCAGGAGACGUGGGUCCAAGA